AAACUGAAGAGUUUGAUCCUGGCUCAGAUUGAACGCUGGCGGCAUGCCUUACACAUGCAAGUCGAACGGCAGCACGGGUGCUUGCACCUGGUGGCGAGUGGCGAACGGGUGAGUAAUAUAUCGGAACGUACCUUAUCGUGGGGGAUAACGCAGCGAAAGCUGCGCUAAUACCGCAUACGCCCUGAGGGGGAAAGCGGGGGACCGUAAGGCCUCGCGCGAUUAGAGCGGCCGAUAUCUGAUUAGCUUGUUGGUGGGGUAAUGGCCUACCAAGCCGACGAUACGUAGCUGGUCUGAGAGGACGAUCGGCCGCACUGGCACUGAGACACGGUCCAGACUCCUUCGGGAGGCAGCAGUGGGGAAUUUUGGACAAUGGGCGCAAGCCUGAGCCAGCCAUGCCGCGUGAGUGAAGAAGGCCUUCGGGUUGUAAAGCUCUUUUGUCAGGGAAGAAACAGCAGCUCUAACACAGUCUGCGAAUGACGGUACCUGAAGAAUAAGCACCGGCUAACUACGUGCCAGCAGCCGCGGUAAUACGUAGGGUGCAAGCGUUAAUCGGAAUUACUGGGCGUAAAGCGUGCGCAGGCGGUUAU
rnacentral:rRNA from 1 species